GACGGUACCUGAUUAAGAAGCCCCGGCUAACUACGUGCCAGCAGCCGCGGUAAUACGUAGGGGGCAAGCGUUAUCCGGAUUUACUGGGUGUAAAGGGAGCGUAGACGGCAGCACAAGUCUGGAGUGAAAUGCCGGGGCUUAACCCCGGAACUGCUUUGGAAACUGUGCAGCUAGAGUGCAGGAGAGGUAAGUGGAAUUCCUAGUGUAGCGGUGAAAUGCGUAGAUAUUAGGAGGAACACCAGUGGCGAAGGCGGCUUACUGGACUGUAACUGACGUUGAGGCUCGAAAGCGUGGGGAGCAAACAGGAUUAGAUACCCUGGUAGUCCACGCUGUAAACGAUGCCUUAUAGGAGUUGGGGGACCUAAGGUCCUUUUGGGUGCCGUUCGCAAAAGGCCAUUAAGUAAUUCCCCUGGGGGGAGUACGUUCGCAAGAAUGAAACUCAAAGGAAUGACGGGGGGCCCCGCCCAAGCGGGGGAGCAUGUGGGUUUAAUUGAAAGCAACGGGAAGACCCUUACCUGGGUUUGACAUCCCCAAUAAGAGGGGAGCAAAGUCACUUUCCUUUGGGGGCAAUGGAGACAGGUGGUGCAGGGUUGUCGUCAGCUCGUGUCGUGAGAUGUUGGUUUAAGUCCCGCAACGAGCGCAACCCCCUAUUUUCCAGUAGCCAGCAGGUAGAGCUGGGAACUCUGGAGAGACUGCCCGGGAGAACCGGGAGGAAGGCGGGGAUGACGUCAAAUCAUCAUGCCCCUUAUGAUCAGGGCUACACACGUGCUACAAUGGCGUAAACAAAGGGAAGCGAGACGGUGACGUUAAGCAAAUCCCAAAAAUAACGUCUCAGUUCGGAUUGUAGUCUGCAACUCGACUACAUGAAGCUGGAAUCGCUAGUAAUCGCGAAUCAGAAUGUCGCGGUGAAUACGUUCCCGGGUCUUGUACACACCGCCCGUCACACCAUGGGAGUCAGAAAUGCCCGAAGUCAGUGACCUAACCGAGAGGAGGGAGCUGCCGAAGGUGGAGCUGG
rnacentral:rRNA from 1 species